GACGAACGCUGGCGGCGCGCCUAACACAUGCAAGUCGAACGGAGCUGAGAGAAGCUUGCUUUUCUUAGCUUAGUGGCGAACGGGUGAGUAACGCGUGAGUAACCUGCCCUGGAGUGGGGGACAACAGUUGGAAACGACUGCUAAUACCGCAUAAGCCCACGAUCCGGCAUCGGAUUGAGGGAAAAGGAUUUAUUCGCUUCAGGAUGGACUCGCGUCCAAUUAGCUAGUUGGUGAGGUAACGGCCCACCAAGGCGACGAUUGGUAGCCGGACUGAGAGGUUGAGCGGCCACAUUGGGACUGAGACACGGCCCAGACUCCUACGGGAGGCAGCAGUGGGGGAUAUUGCACAAUGGGGGAAACCCUGAUGCAGCGACGCCGCGUGGAGGAAGAAGGUUUUCGGAUUGUAAACUCCUGUCGUUAGGGACGAUAAUGACGGUACCUAACAAGAAAGCACCGGCUAACUACGUG
rnacentral:rRNA from 1 species